UGUUUUGGCAGUGGCUGGCUGGCAAUCCUAACUCAGGUUCUGCUCGGCUACAUGGCUGUCUGUCACCUUCUGCUUCCUCCUCCUGUGUCCAGAUUUCCUCUGCGUACAAGAACUCCAGUCAAUGUGGAUUAAGGCUCACACUGCUUCAGUUUGGCCUCACCGUAACUAAUAGAAUCUUCAAAGAUCCCAUUUACAAAUGUGGUCACAUCCUUAGGACUAGAGGGUUUAUUAUUUACUUCUGCUUUGAAAGGAUCUAAGAGGCCAUAGAGAUGAAAGAAGUAUCAGCCUUUCCCCUGAUGGCAAAUGAACAUGCUCACCGCUUAGAGUUGAUAAAGCAUCGUCAUCUUUAAGAGCCUUUCAGUACUUUCCAUUCUACUGGAUAAGGGCUUCUCUGGGAUGGAGGGAACCACUUAUUUUGCCUGUUUUGCCCAUGAGCUCCUGUGAACUAAUGCAUGAAGAAGUCUCCAAAUGAACAUUUCUGCUAAUAGACUACUGUGUACCUCAGAUCAACCCUGCCACUGAGGACAACCAGAAAAACUGAACUUUUUCUUUAGAAACAUAUCUGCUUCAAGGCUGAGAAGAAUCAUAGGAAAAGAUACCAAGCAUGGAAACAAAAUAAACUAAAAACAAAAAUACAGAGAGUAGGUGAUCAGAAUAUGCAAAGCCAGUUUAAAGAGGAUGGCUCAAGGACAAAGGAAACCAACACACCUCAAGGAAGAGUAGCCAUCCCAUAGGGGCUUGGUCUGCUAGGGAAGCUCAGAGUACCAUCUGAAAGCCAGGUGCCCAGGUGUCUGCUUCUCCAGGCAAGAACAUCCUGACUAAGAGACAGAGUUCCUGGGUUAACUCAUCUGAAGCCCUAAAGCAUUCAUCCAUCUGAAUCUUCACCACUAUUCUCCUAGUCAGGAAAGAGAAUGUACCAUUUACUCUGAAAUGGAUAUGCUGGUUCUUGUGACAUUUCUGUUUUGUGUUGCAAACAAAUCCACUGCUAUUCCAGUUAUUCAUCAGUCUCAUGAGCUUGGCUACUGUGAGUGGACCUAGAGGAGAGGUAAUGGAUUGAAUCAGGAGGGCCCAGAGUUCACAUACAAGAAUGGAAUUUCAUUCCCUGAUGGGCAGGGGAAUGUGAUGUCCACUGACUUGGGAGGCAAUCAUGGUGGAAGGAGAACGGUGCCACUCUCCAUAGCACAGUCAUGGAAGGCUUCAAAGAAGAGGACAGAGACAGAGGCAGAGUAUAAAGAAUGAACAGCACAUGUUCUAAGAAAAUGAAGAGGAAGAAGAGUGCCAAGGACACGAGAAGCAUUUGGAUGAACAUGGCUAGCAAGGAAGCAAGGACCAUAUUAUGAAAACCUUGAAGACCUUAGAAUUCUGGACAUUUUAUCCUACCAUGGGUGGAAGGGACGUCAUUGGAAAGUCUUCA